rnacentral:rRNA from 1 species
GGAGGGUGCAAGCGCUAUCCGGAUUUACUGGGUUUAAAGGGUGCGUAGGUGGGUUGGUAAGUCAGUGGUGAAAUACUUUCGCUUAACGAAGGAACUGCCAUUGAUACUACCAGUCUUGAAUACAGUGGAGGUAGGCGGAAUGCGUCAUGUAGCGGUGAAAUGCUUAGAUAUGACGCAGAACACCAAUUGCGAAGGCAGCUUGCUACACUGUUAUUGACACUGAGGCACGAAAGCGUGGGGAUCAAACAGGAUUAGAUACCCUGGUAGUCCACGCCCUAAACGAUGAUUACUCGAUCUCAGCGAUACACUGUUGGGGUCUAUGUGAAAGCAUUAAGUAAUCCACCUGGGGAGUACGAUCGCAAGAUUG